CUCUUUUCACAAUUCUUUAAAGGUGUUUUUCGUCUUUCGGUCUGCCCUUAUCAUUUCUAGUGUAUAGAGUUCCCUCUUCGAUUCACCGCAACCACUGUAUACAGAGAGCGCCGUCUCACCUCUCAGAUAAGAACUGUGUACAUUCACAUAGUGCUCUCUGCAAACAGCUGGUCGUCAGAAAACAUCUUAUUGUCAGCUGAAAAAACCUAUAGCAAACAGAAGAAUACAAAAAAAAAUAUACGUCGAUUCUGCCUGAAUAGGUUUCUUUGUGGAAUCCAACUAGUCUUGUUUUUAAAAUAUAUCCAUGGAUAGACCUAUACCUGACGACAGAGUGUUUUUUUCAGGUGGCUCUGGAAGUGGAACGAAAGUGUUAAUCACAACUUGUCGUGGAAUUCGGAUUAGUAAUUGUCCCUUGAUCCGCCAUCCUCUCUAUUAAACAAAUGAGUGUGCUUUGGAUUUGUAGUGAAACCUUUUGUCAACUGAUUCACGGAUCUUGCAGUCGGUCCAAGUGGAACACACAAUAUUGAUUGCUGGGCAUCAUGCCACAGAAGCGUGUUACCACAUUUCUUACCAUAAAUGUUUUAAUGAAAAGAUCUUGUGUCUUUUUCACGUAACUGGCGGUGACAAACCUUGGGAACCUCUUGAGAUGGUAUUUGAAAGCAAGAACAAUAAAACAAAAAGAGGCUUUAUUAUUAUUGUUUUAUGUCACAAUAUUAAAACUGUUCAGCUGGAGAAUGUGGGUGAGAGAGAUAAAAAUAUGCAAAGGCAACUGCAUUUAAUACUAUGGUCACCACAGUGUACGGGGAUUUUCGUUUUGACAGACGAAACAAGUGAAUUAUUAUUAUACUGCUAUUGAAUGGCUCAGGAAUUACGGCCAUGUGGCAACAGCUUUUCUCAUCACGCACGUAAAAAAAACAUAUUUGAAAGUUUUAGUUGCACAUAUGAAAUUAUAUUGAGCGAGUGGGACUCUGCUGUAAGCAACUGGACGUCAUUGCCCGUUUUAUUUCGUCUUGCUGUUUUUAUUCAGGUUCUUCUGAUGUGUUGUUUUUUUAUUUUCACCUUUUAUAUGCUUUUGUUUAUUUCGCUUUCUUUUCUUUUAUUGGGUGUCUUUUAGGCAACGACCGAAACGACAUUGGCUACAGGAAACUCUUCGUGGAUAGAAGAUAGGAAUGGAUGUCAUGAUGGAAGUUAGAAAAACAUAACGACGAACGGCCCAAUGACCGGCGAAUGUUUUAUUUAUCACCAUGCGGCAGUCACAGUAUUCAUUCGACACUUCCAGCCUGCCCAGUUCUUUUUUUUAGUCUUUUAACCCUGUAGAAAAAAUCUCUGUUACUUUGAUGUAUUCUAUUGCUAAAAAAUUUUUUUUUCAAUGAAACAAAACCCGUUUCGACCUGGGUUAUACAACUGAAAGUGAGUUGACGCAAGCACCGCCAAAGACCCACAGGAAAUCGUUCGAAGACUGUUAAAGUGAAACUUUUAUGAUUUUUGGCAUCAAGGUGUCUGAAUGACAUGUCUGAGACUACCAAAUCUUAAUUUUGGGCAUUAAAAAACGAGAGUAUUUAGUGUACUACCUUAAAGCUGUUAAGAUACCAUUUCUCCGCUGAAUAUGCACGUUUUGAUCGGAAGCUGCAGGGCAAACGAAUAUUUUCUAUUAGGAAAAUGAUAAAAAAAACCAUUGGAAUAUGAAGCUGGUUCAAAGUUUUCUAGAUUGGAUUGCAUAAUAUAAAAACAAAUGUAAAAAUGUUUGAUUGGUUUUCUUACAUAUAACCCCUGGAGUCUGUGGAGGCAUUUUGGUUUACCGAGAUUCAUAACAGAGUGGCUCCGGAUUGUUCCUCUUCUCUUUAGAGAAGAUUUCUAGGGGAACAAUGCUGUGACUCUAUUUCGAUGCUUACGCCCUAAAUGUCUAUUUUAUCUUGAACAAACUGUAAGAUAACUUAGGUUAGGGACACACAUUUUUGGAUUUCUUUUAUGUAACUAUAGCGUUUCCCUGCAUUAGAAUAAAAUAGCAUUUUAAAAAACAAA